GAAAAACAACACGACAAUGACUGAAGCAGUGACAGCUAACUAAACAGUCUUUCAUGUAAUCUACAGGAGGCGGGGGUGGUGGGGGAGAUCAGAUGACUAAUUAUACUCUGCUGUGAAGCCUGAAGCAGUGCACUAUGGGAAUCAUCGAGGGCUGAACCCCGUCACAAAGGCUCUGAUCAUUGAACAGACCCAGCUCUUAUUUUGGUUUUCAUUUCAGACUCAGCAGGUGGUGGAGUGAUUAACACCACAACAGGAGUUGAUCAAGCACAGAAAGACAAACACUGGUACGAUCGUGUGCCUUCUGCUCAAGGCUCAGCAAUGUGACGCUGUUGGUGGGAAACGAACAGGGUCUAUUCUGUGCUGUGCGUUUCUACAACAAGAAGGAGAUGAGUGAACGCGACUGCAUGCGGACCUCACCCCUGCACAAACUCAAACACCUCCAUUUCGCUUGGUAUGGAAAUGUGUCUCAUAUUCAGACUGUGGAUAUUAACAUUUGUUACCAGCAUGCCCUUUCCCUUGUCUUACAUCUCCUCCAACCUUACAUGUGCUUAGAGACUCAUUUUCAUAAUUAUGUUACCUUUUGAGAUGGCGGUUUGAUUUCAUGAGUUUGCCUGUUCUGUUUAUAUAGCUAAAACGUAUGAAUGAAUGAAUAAAUGUAUUUCAGACAACAACAUGACAUAAACAAAACAAAUACACAAAAAAUGUGUUAAUUAGUUUGCAAAAUGAAAUAAAAAGCACAUUACAUAACAUACAGUGGCUUGAGAAAGUUGACACACCCAUGCUAAAGUUGAUUAAAAAGAAGAAUAAAAAAAA